UAAUUACAAUAAACGGUUAUUUUUACUAAGUUUCAUUGAUUUGUUCUUAGAAAAUCAUUCCAGAAUACUAAUUUUUCCUAUCUGAAUAAGAUAUUAAUAAAUAUAUAAAAUGUGUAUUCGCGUUUCAAGUUUCCUAUGUUUUGAUAACAGUGAAGAAGCAACUUGCUACUCAGCGUUUAUAAUUGGACUUUACUCUGUUGUCAUGAUCUUGGAUUUGGUAACAUCCAAUAAUCUUGCGCUUGUGGAAAUAUAUUCUGAAGAUACACAUUACAAGUGGUAUUUUGUUACUAACAUUAUUGAAUGGUUCGCAUUGCUAAUAUUUAGCUUUCUUUUGUACGUUGCACUCGAACUGG